UCGGCCGCACAGCUACGCGGUAGGCUAUUGGCCCUCGCGGGAGGCGCGGGGAGAUGACAUAACGGGAACCAUUUUGGAUAUUAUUCAGUUUUGUGCGGUGCUUGGAAGGUACUUCGUCAAUUUCGAACUUCGAUGAUUUUUGACUGCCUUUGCUCAGAAGAGCUGUUGGAAAGGUCGUAAUACCGCAGUUCAGAAGAAAACCAACAGACCGUCCCAACCGAGAAGAUGCCUCCUCUUGAAGCGGAUAUACCAGUGGUACCCGUGGAAAAACAAGAUAUGGAAAGUAUUAAGCGUCGUAUAAUAGAGGAGAUUAAAGACCUGUGCUUAGUGAUGAGGAAAGUUAUGUCAGAGCACUUGGAAGGCUUCAGGGAGUUCGAGUUAACAAAAAUGUGUAAGCCGGAUUGGCCACCAAGUGAGACAACCAAAGUAAAUGCCAAACAAGAGGAUGUAGAGAAAAGGGGAGAUGAAAUCAAGACAAGAGGAGAAAAAGAGAAGGGGGAUCCAGGAGAAACAGCCUAUGCAUAAUAGAAAUACCUGAAACAGGACAGAGCAAAUGAAGCUGAAAUAAUAAAACUAACUAACUAACUGAGGAAACUUUUCCAGAGUUGAAGGUCUGCAAAUGGAAAAGGCUCACAGGGUACUUUUAAAAAUUUAAUGAAAAGGAAGCAACGCCUAGACAUAUUCUGGUGACUUUUUAAAAUUUCGAGGAUAAAGAAAAACUUACAGAUAUCCAGACAAAGAAAGCAGGUUACCGAGAGAGCUGCAAAACUCAGGCUGCCCUUAAGGUUUUUCUUGUGCAGUUCUAAAUGGCGGAAGACAAUGGAACGGUAUCAACAAAGUUUUGUGGGUAAAUCAUUUUGAACCUGGAAUUAUAUACCCUGCCAAGUUAUUUAUUUAUUUAUUUUUCUGUUUGCAGGCAAUUGGAAGAUAGAUAUGCAGAGGUUAAGAAAAUAUAUAUCAACUAAGAACCUGCUCUGAAAAUCUUGCUGAUUUACUGCAGCCGGUAGAGAAUGUGAAUUAAAAUAAGUAGGGAGGCAAUUGUAUGAAAGAAUUAAUGGUAAGCAUUAAAACUAGUUAAAGAGCAUUGCAUUUCCUUUGUUACAUGUAAGGUAAUAAAGGUAAAUAUAAAAAUAGAUUUGUAAGCAGCAUGUAAAAUUUUUAACUUUAUAGUUUUAAGCUGCCAAAAGGCAAGCCAAAUACUCAAAUGUAUUGGUCAAAUAUUGUUUUAUUUUUGCCAUGUAGUAUUGUAGCUAAAAACACAUGUUGUUAAGAAAGAAAAGGGCUUUGUCACUGUGGAAAGGACAUGUACAAUAAAAUCUGACAAAAGUUGGAAAA